CCCUUAGAUGUUCUGGGCCGCACGCGUGCUACACUGAGUGGAUCAGCGGGUCAGGUUGCGCGAAAGUGUUUCCUAAUCUUGAAAUCCGCUCGUGAUGGGGAUUGACGGUUGCAAUUUUCCGUCAUGAACGAGGAAUACCUUGUAAGCGCGGGUCAUCAUCCCGCGCUGAAUACGUCCCUGCCCUUUGUACACACCGCCCGUCGCUCCUACCGAUUGAGUGGUCCGGUGAGGCUUUGGGAUCUGAGCGGAAAGAGCGUUUCGCUGUUUCUGCUCGGAAAACUCAGUCGAACCUUAUCAUUUAGAGGAAGGAGAAGGCGUACA
rnacentral:rRNA from 1 species